rnacentral:rRNA from 1 species
GUUUGAUCCUGGCUCAGAUUGAACGCUGGCGGCAUGCUUUUACACAUGCAAGUCGAACGGUAACAGGGAGCUUGCUCCGCUGACGAGUGGCGAACGGGUGAGUAAUGCAUCGGAACGUACCCAGUCGUGGGGGAUAACGUAGCGAAAGUUACGCUAAUACCGCAUACGUCCUGAGGGAGAAAGCGGGGGACCGUAAGGCCUCGCGCGAUUGGAGCGGCCGAUGUCGGAUUAGCUAGUUGGUAGGGUAAAGGCCUACCAAGGCGACGAUCCGUAGCGGGUCUGAGAGGAUGAUCCGCCACACUGGGACUGAGACACGGCCCAGACUCCUACGGGAGGCAGCAGUGGGGAAUUUUGGACAAUGGGCGAAAGCCUGAUCCAGCCAUGCCGCGUGAGUGAAGAAGGCCU